rnacentral:tRNA from 1 species
CUCAGUUAGGCAGAGCGUCUGGUUGUGGUCCAGAAAGGUCGCGGGUUCAAUCCCCGUUACUCACC